CCUACGGGGGGCAGCAGUGAGGAAUAUUGGUCAAUGGCCGGGAGGCUGAAUCAGCAAAGUCGCGUGAGGGAAGACGGCCCAACGGGUUGUAAACCUCUUUUGUAGGGAGGAAGGGUGCAGGUCGGGACCUGCUGUGAGAGUACCUGAAAAAAAAGCAUCGGCUAACUCCGUGCCAGCAGCGGCGGUAAUACGGAGGAGGCGAGCGUUAUCCGGAUUUAUUGGGUUUAAGGGGUGCGCAGGCGGAGGCACAAGCCAGCGGUAAAAUCGCGGGGCUCAACCCCGCUCCGCCGUUGAAACUGUGUCCCUUGAGUGCGCGAAAGGUAGGCGGAAUGCGUGGUGUAGCGGUGAAAUGCAUAGAUAUCACGCAGAACUCCGAUCGCGAAGGCAGCCUACCGGCGCGCAACUGACGCUCAUGCACGAAAGCGUGGGUAUCGAACAGGAUUAGAUACCCCUGUAGUC
rnacentral:rRNA from 1 species